rnacentral:rRNA from 1 species
AAACAUGGCUCUUUGUGAUUUAAAAAUAAAGAGUCAGGCCUGCCCUGUGAAAUAUUUAACGGCCGCGGUAUUCUAACCGUGCAAAGGUAGCAUAAUCAUUUGCCUUAUAAUUGAAGGCUAGUAUGAAUGGUUUAACGAGAGCAAUACUGUCUCCUUUCUAUUCUUUAGAACUUAACCUUUAGGUGAAGAGGCCUAAAUUUAAUUGAAGGACAAGAAGACCCUGUCGAGCUUAAAAGAAAUUAGAGAAGCUUAUAUAUUUUUAGAUAAAUUUACUCUUACGCUUUUUAGUUGGGGCGACUAAGGAACAAAAAAAGCUUCUUAUUAAAAGUAAACAAAUCAAGUUUUGAUCCGGAAUUAUCCGAUUAAGGGAAUUAGUUACCGCAGGGAUAACAGCAUAAUCUCUCUUGAAAGCUCUAAUCGAAAGAGGGGGUUGUGACCUCGAUGUUGGACUAAAAUAUCCUAAAGGUGCAGAAGCCUUUGAGGGUUGGUCUGUUCGACCAUUAAAAUUUUACGUGAUC